GUGGCAUCUGAUGCUUAUUGCACCACAUGUGUUUUUCUUUGAAACAAACUUGCUUUGGCGGUGGGCCCAGCCUGCCGCCAGAGGUCUAAACUUACAACCAAUUUUUUAUCAACUUGUCACACCAGAUUAUUACUUAAUAGUCAAAACUUUCAACAACGGAUCUCUUGGUUCUCGCAUCGAUGAAGAACGCAGCGAAAUGCGAUACGUAAUAUGAAUUGCAGAUAUUCGUGAAUCAUCGAAUCUUUGAACGCACAUUGCGCCCUCUGGUAUUCCGGAGGGCAUGCCUGUUUGAGCGUCGUUUCUCCCUCAAACCGCUGGGUUUGGUGUUGAGCAAUACGACUUGGGUUUGCUUGAAAGACGGUAGUGGUAAGGCGGGAUCGCUUUGACAAUGGCUUAGGUCUAACCAAAAACAUUGCUUGCGGCGGUAACGUCCACCACGUAUAUCUUCAAACUUUGACCUCAAAUCAGGUAGGACUACCCGCUGAACUUAAGCAUAUCAAAAAGCGGGAGGAA
rnacentral:rRNA from 1 species